rnacentral:rRNA from 1 species
CAGACCUCUGAUCAGAG